AAAAACCCCGAUAAAUUACCAAAGAAAACUCUUUUCCAACUAUAAUGCGAUAACUUUCUAACAGCUUAAUCAUGAGUGAAAAUCAGAGAAAGGCAUGGUUAUAUAAAAUAUUUUACAGAAUGAAUACCAACAAAACUAAGAUUAAAGUAGACUAUUAUAGAAUUGAAUAAAAUACUGCAACAAAGAUGACAGAGGACCAAUAACAUCACAUAUAAAAGCAUAAUGAUAAGAUAUAAAAACAGAACAUAAACAAGUAAAGGUCCAGCAAGUCUCUCAAUGUAAAGGAAAUGCAUUUAUACCCUACACUGUUUCCAUUAAAGAUUUAAGAUAGCUU
rnacentral:lncRNA from 10 species